GACGUAGGGUGCGAGCGUUUAUCCGGAAUUAUUGGGCGUAAAAGAGCUUGUAGGCGGUUUGUCGCGUCUGCUGUGAAAAUUUUCGGGGCUCAACCCCCGAACUUGCAGUGGGUACGGGGCAGACUAGAGUGUGGUAGGGGGAGACUGGAAUUCCUGGUGUAGCGGUGAAAUGCGCAGAUAUCAGGAGGAACACCGAUGGCGAA
rnacentral:rRNA from 1 species